UUUUGUAAAGGGUUUUUUUUGGAGAUAGGGUCUCUCGAACUAUUUGCUAAGGCUGGCCUUGAACCGCAGUCCUCCUGAUUUCUGCCUCCUGAAUAGCUAUAAACAUUUCUCUAUUAGCUGGGUAAAAAUUAAGUAGAAAGAAUUUAAGAAUAUAUUUGUUUGGUCUGGCAGAAUGGCUCAAGUGGUAGAGCGCCUGCCUAGUGAGUUCAAACCCUAGUCCUGGCCAAAAAAAAAAAGGAACCAAGAAUAUUUGCUCACAAAACUAUUCAUACUAUCAUUUGCUUUUAUUUUUCUUUUUCUGGAGGUAAGAAAACUUCUUGUUGACCUGGGACAUCAGCAGGCCGACUUGCUGGGGAAGUACUUGAUGACAACUCUAGAAUGUCUUGUGAGCGUUUAAAAACGGAGCACAGCCUCACCAAAGCUCUACAGCCAGAAAAGUCACGCAGCAGUGUCAUGAAAAAUAAGGGCAACUGCUCUUAAUGUUGGCUGUCUCUCUGGGUCCUUUUCUCUGUGCACUUAGAGCCUGGUUGAGGUUAAAGUUUGUGCUCUGCUUUCCCCUGAUUAAUAUUGCAAAGGUCAUCCUAACACCAAACAGUCUUCAGAACACAGUAACAUCCUGCCGGGAGGAACUUCACCAUUGUUUAGAUGGAGGACAGUAACGUUUUCAUAUUAAUCAACACUUAAAGUUGGGAACAUUUGGUUUUUUUAGUGUCAUUUGGUAUGAUUUCAUAACUAAUGUGCAGACUCGAGCUUUAUUUACAUUUGCCCUCUAGAUUCUUCAAGAACAUCAAGAAGCCACCACCAUGGUAGCUUUAAUGAAGGUUUACCAAGAGGAAGAUGAGGCGUAUCAGGAGUUAGUCACCAAGGCAACUGCGUUCUACCAGUGUUUACUGCAGCCAUUCAGGGAUGUGCGGGAAGUUGCAACUUUAUGUAAGCUUGAUGUUCUGAAGUCCCUGGAUGAGGAUGAGCUGGGUCCUAAGAGAGUAGCUGCCUUGCAGAAGGAAGCCGGAGAAUGGAGCAGACAGGCUGAAGAAGCUGUUGUCUCUAUUCAGGAUCUCACUGUGAAUUAUUUCAAGGAAACAGUAAAAGCAUUAGCAGGAAUGCAGAAACAAAUGGAACAGGAUGGGAAGAGAUUUGGCCAGGCUGCCUGGGCCACAGCCACUCCCAGGUUAGAAAGACUCAAGCUCAUGUUAGCUCGAGAGACCCUGCAGCUCAUGAGAGCCAAGGAGCUGUGUUUAAAUCACAAAAGAGCUGAAAUUCAGAGAAAGGUAAGAAAGGUGAACGUAACUGCUUUACAAAUAAGUAAUUGUACAUAGCUUCCUUUUUUGAAGGCAUUGUUACUGAGCUUCCUUUCCUCACUGUUAACCUCCUGUUCUGGUGGAAGAUAAUUUUUUUUUAUUCAUUUACUAAUGUGUGCAUACAUUGUUUGGGUCAUU